GUGUGUGUGUCUGUGCGUGUGAGAGGGUGCAACUGCGCAUGCGACAACUUUACUGUUACUCUCGCCAUGUGGCAACGCUGCAGGCGAUCGCUUUUUAAGUGGCGUGAGAUUAAAGGGAAAAUUGUUUGUUUUUCAGUUUCAGAAUGAAUUGAAUUCGCAAACAUAUAAAACACCCAAGCUAACUCAACCGAAUAAUGCUUGUCACCCAACUAUUCGGUUAUCCGAAUUUGGUGAAGUGGCGCAGGAUGUGCGACAUGGCCGCGGGAUUAUCGGCAGGGACCAUGUGACCAGCCCGGUUGACCCAGAACAUGCUGAAGUUGCCAUACGUCUUCUCGUAACCCUCCAGAACUCGAUCUACGGUGAUUCCCACGCGGGAAGCGGCCUGAGAUAUCGCUUGAUUUACGAAUCUUACCAUGCGCCGAGGCGGCGAACAACGCCAGGAAUGCUAACAGCCAGAUCGACAUUUUCAACUGGGAGUGAUACUGAAGCUCACGGGCUUAUUUAACGGCUACAGAGCACUAUCAGCAGAAAUUGACACCAGAUAAUAGUUUUUCAAAAAUGAUAGCUUCUAUAAAAGAGUCUGUUUCUUACAGAUAUCGCUUGAUUUACGAAUCUUACCAUGCGCCAAGGCGGCGAAGAACGCCAGGAAUGCUACCAGCCAAAUCGACAUUUUCAACUGGGAGUGAAGCUCACGGGCUUA